GUGUCAGCCGCCGCGGUAAUACGGAGGGUGCAAGCGUUAUCCGGAAUCACUGGGUUUAAAGGGUGCGUAGGCGGUGGCGUAAGUCAGUUGUGAAAUUCCCCGGCUUAACCGGCGGGACUGCGAUUGAUACUGCGUCACUUGAAUCAGGAUGAGGUAGGCGGAAUGUGACAUGUAGCGGUGAAAUGCUUAGAUAUGUCAUAGAACACCGAUUGCGAAGGCAGCUUGCUGGACCUGUAUUGACGCUGAGGCACGAAAGCGUGGGGAGCAAACAGGAUUAGAUACCCCCGUAGUCC
rnacentral:rRNA from 1 species